rnacentral:lncRNA from 1 species
ACACCCAAAAUCUGAUUUUGCAAUCAUCACCCUAAUUCUAAGGGACACCCAUAAAAACCUCUACUUUUCCUUUAAAAUCCUCAAACCACACCCUUCUAACUAUAAUAACACCUAUAUAUACCUAAAUUAAACCUCACUUAUGCUGAUGAAGUUGUGGUACAUAGUCCAUACUAAAUUAUUCACUAGCAAACUUGUACUUAUUUCUUAGGGUUUGAAGUUGUAGAACUUUCCAUGAACUUAUAAUAACGUAGGGUUUGUGUCCAUGGCUUGGUCCUCAUGAUGUUUGAGUAUUAGUGAGAGAGUUUUGACACUUCUAGUGAAUAAAUGGAGGAAUACACUAACAACAAUAAUCAUAUAAGAGAAAACACAGGUCAAGUUCCAAGGGAAAAUUUCUUAUACACCACUGCAGUUGGUGAUUCAAGCGGUGGAAACCAUCAUCAUCAUAAUCAAUUUCCUAUCAACACUUUUCAUCUUCAAUCGGGUGGAUCGGGUCACAGUUUUCAACCCGAUCAGGUACGAUAUGACUCUAAUGUGAAAACUGAAUCCAACAACAACACCUCGCAGCAGCUACAAACUCCGAUUUUCCACUAUCCCUUAUUGAGAGGAAGUAUUCUACAACCUCAUCAAACUCAACAUGGAGGGAGCCAUAGCUCUAACGAAGUUGAAGAAGAUAUAAAAGCCAAAAUCAUUGCUCAUCCUCAGUACUCUAAUCUUUUACAAGUUUACAUGGAUUGCCAAAAGGUCUUGAAUUAUUAAUUAACUCAUAUUUGUUCCUGCCUAAAUCCCUUUUUAAUUCUAUAUCUAACUGUUUGCUUUUUGUAUAUGGGUUCCAUUAAUAAAUGUAUCUCUGACAGUGGCUGAAUAUUUGAAGGUAGGAGCUCCGCCGGAAGUGGUGGCGCGUAUGGCUGCAGCUCAACAAGAUUUUGAGGCACGACAACGAUCUUCAGUUAGGUCUAAUCUGGAAGGUUCCAAGGACCCUGAACUUGACCAAUUCAUGGUUAGGAUUUUGUUCACUCUUAUUUCCUUCAAACCCUUUAGUCCUUUACAAUUUUUAUUUGCUAACUGUGAAGUGUUUGAUAAUUUGAUAUAUAUUUAUAUAUAUUAUAUGGUGUGGGGUGAAAACAGGAAGCUUACUAUGACAUGCUUGUGAAGUAUAGAGAUGAAUUAACAAGGCCUAUUCAAGAGGCCAUGGAUUUCAUGCAGAAGAUAGAAACUCAGCUCAAUACGCUUUGCAAUGGCAAUGGACCCCUUAGGAUCUUCUCUGGUAUUUUCAUCUUUCUCUCUUUGUUGAAGUUGAGAACCCUUUUAUUCUCUCUUAUACCUUCUCCAAACUCAUCAUCUUUAAUUUCUGCUACAGAAAUUUCCUUUGAGUUCAAAUUAAUUAAGUCUAUAAUGUAGGAUAAUAAUCUAUAGCCUGUAGGUAUUAUAUGACACUGCACUAAUAAAAUUUGGUCUGUAUUGUCUGUGAUUACUGGUAUUAGGAAACUUGAGUUUUUCUGCACUCAGGUCCAGGAAAUUUUGACCAAAUUCCAUUUAUCUUGGGGUAGGGAAUAGGGAUCAUCUAUUCACUUUUCUGUGUCUUAUUGUGUCCCAAUCCAAUGAAAAUUUGACACAUACUAAAAAAUAAAAUUAAAAAAAUAUAAUAUAACAUUUUUAUGUGAUUUAGUGAAAUAUGAUUGACUUGAGACAUAGAGACGGGAAGAUUUUGGGAUAGAAAUAGAGAGAAGAUUUGUGCAAACACACAACCCUAACUACUUGCCUAGUAGUUAGUACCUACAUAUCAUUUAUUUUCUUAAUUUACCUUUUAAAAGAAGGAAUAUACAAAAUAUGUAGCACCACUCAGCUAGUGUAUAAUUCUAUUUCUAUAUUAUUAUAUUUUACUAGUACGGUCAAUUCUUUGCAAAUUACACACGUUGUUCGGGUCCCCACUCAGCUCCUUCUUUUCCUUUUUCCUAAAUAAACUUCUGAGUAUGGACGAAAUUAUUUAUCUAGGGCUUCCUAGUUAAUACAUUAUGUAUUCUGAUAAUUAAAACAUAUUAGUCCAUGUAUGAUUAUGCUUUAAGCUGAAUCAUUGGGUUUUUGUAGUGUAAUAUUAUUUUUUUGCAUAUAUUACUCAUCCACGAAGACAUUAGUCUAGUGAUAUAAUAAUCUAUUGAAUAUCUCAACACGGAUAAGAAUCUUUUGUCCCAAAAAGAUCUUGUCUGCAUGUAUCAAAUCAAUCAAAUUACAUAGGAUAAUAAUGUAUAAAUAUUAUUUUUGUUAUUAUAAUUUUUCUUUUUAAUUAAAUAAGAUUUUCUGAUUGGAUNNNNNNNNNNNNNNNNNNNNNNNNNNNNNNNNNNNNNNNNNNNNNNNNNNNNNNNNNNNNNNNNNNNNNNNNNNNNNNNNNNNNNNNNNNNNNNNNNNNNUUAUAUUUUAGUUAGCAAGAAAAGAUGUAAGUUACAUAUCACAUUUUCAAAUGAUGUGCAUUUGGUAAGAUUUGGAUUUCUCAAUUAUAUUUUCUUAUUAAGUGAAUGGAAGAUAUAAACAAAAAAAUGAUAAUAAAAAAUCAUAAACCUUAAUUGGACACAAUUUUUUUAUGUUUAUUUAUUUUCUCCACAAAACAAUUGAGAAAAAAAGAAUAAAACAAUUAAGAAGAUCCAAAAUUUGAGAAAAUAAGUAGAAAAUAAAGAAAUAUAAAAUGUAAUCCUAAAUUAGAAUGAUACAAAUGUGAAUAGAAGUAUGUGCAAUUGUAUCUAGCUAGAAUUAUUGAAGAUGGUGAUGGCUGCUAUACUAUUGUCAACUUACGUGAUUAAACACACAAUAACUUUCUUUUUCAUAAUUAAUAUGAUCGAAAAUGAAACCUUUAUUGACUAAUUAAGUUGCUUAAUUAGGACACUUGACCCUCCUUUUUGUUCAUUGUUUGACAGCAAAACAGAAUAACUUACCUGUUAAAGUAAGCCAAUUCUUCUCCUUUUUUGUUCAAUUUGUCUUUCAUAUUUCUAAGUAAUAAUUACAAUUAUAGGAACAUAUUUUUGUAAGAUUUUAUGGGAACAUGCCUUGAGAGUAAAUCAUAUAUUAUUGUUCCUUAUCAGUGGGGCAUGUUGUUGAUCAAUUUGUGAAUCAAAAGCUAAACAUUAUUUACCCACCGAUUCUUACCUAAUAAAUGGUUAAAAUGGAUAUUACUUCUUCAACUUUGUGUUUCUUACGCAAUAUUAACAUUAAUUAAUAUAAAAAGGUGGCUGCUAUACUUUUAAACAUAUUGAUAGGAUUUAAUGGCAGACAUGGGUCCUAGGUGACUAUUUUCUGUUCAACAUAUACUAUUGACUAAUUCUUAAUUAUUUUACCAAAAUAAUUAAGGAUUCACUAUAUCUAGUCCCAAAACUUAUAUCUCUCAUAUAUUCCGGCCAAAUCCAUACUAUCUAGCUCAUAUUUCUUUAUCGAAAAUUAUUAGUAUGUUAGUAUUUUUGUUGUGGGUGAGACUUGAAUUAACAACCUCCUUCGCACCAUUAAAGCAUCUUAUUAUUCCAUUUUUUGUUGUUGGUGGAACUCGAAUCCACAACCUCAUACUUUCCAUUCCUUAAGCACUUCAUCUCCACUAUCAUACCACCUUAUAACUCACUCUGGACUGUUAAAGUUCUAUCUCAAAACCAAGUGUUUAUGAGACAAGUAUUUAAAUCAUUCUCGUGACAUUGAGUUGGGCGAUGUGAGACUUACUUUUCAACAUGUCAUCUCCACAUAAGUUUGUCGAACCAGGCGAAAAGAUUACCUUUGACCCAUAACUAAAGAGCAUCUUUUGGCUUAUGACAACCGGAAAUAAGUUGGGUUCUGGCUCUGAUACCAAGUUAAGAUUUAAUCUCAAAACCAAUUGUCCAUGAGAGAAAUAAUCCAACAGAUAUUUAAACUAUUCUCGAGACAAUGAGGUAGAUAUGAGACUUAUUUUCCAACAUGCUCCCUCCAUGCAAGUCUGUCAGACUAGGCAAAUGGUUAUCUUUGACCCAUAACUAAACGACAUCUUUGGACAUAUGGCAACUGAGAAGAAGUUGGACUUUAGCUCUGAUAUCAUAUUAAAGUUUCAUCUCAAAACCUCAUGUAAAUAAUGGUAGAACAAUUCUUAAAACAUUAGACUAACUCUAAGCACAACGUUUAUGCUUUCUCCAAGAAAGAUGAGACACGCUUGGGUAGUGAAACCAAGUGGAAGUCCAAACCAUGUGAUGGUGAAGAAUCAAUAGAUGAGUUGUGGCACGAUAUAAGUUUAAUUAGAACCAUUGAGUUUAAAAUUAGGUAAUUUCUGUAAUUCUAUUUCAACCUUAACUACCUAUAUAAAUACUUAUAUCUCUGAAGUUAAAAAUCUCCAUUCCUACUCUCACCACUUCUCUUACUUAAUUAACAUUAACAUUUAUACAAAUUUAAGCUUAUAUUAUCUCACAUUUCUACAACUUUUUAUUAUUUAAAUAUAUUUAACACCAUGUCAUUUUGUACUUACAAAUGAUGAUAUUUUAACACUGAGAUAUUUAGUAACAAUUAUCUUUAUGAUAAAUAAUUAGAAGAAUAGUGUAUUAUUUGUGAGUGACGUGACAAGAACAGGUCAUUCAUAUGAUAUGAUGUAGAUGGUGAAGUGAUUGGCAAAAGGCAAAGGCUCCAAUAAUAGAAUCAUCACUGUUUCAAGUGAGGAACCUUAAGUAUCAUAAUCAUUAUUUACUACAAUCAACUCAUUCCCCGUGAUUCUAGGUUUAAUUUAGAGAGAUUAAUUUAACCCUAGUACUGGCCUCAACUCAUUCAUUUCUGAACCAAAUACAUAUAAUUGGUGGGUGUGAGGAUAAGGCCCUUGGUUGUAGAAGAGGUAGCAUAGGGAAAUGGAGAAGAAUAGUGAGGUUGAAUGACAAAUGAGGAUGGAAGAAGAGUAUCUCAACCAAAUACACACACUGCUUUUACAUUCAAACUUUGGAGAUGUCCAAUCUGUCUCAUCACAAAGAAUCACUCAACAGAGAGGAAAUUAAUACAACUCAUUUUGACUAAAAUUAUUUUAUUUAGUCAAUAUUAAAAAUUAAAUUAAAAAAUAAUGGAGAUAUGAAUAAUUAAUAAAUAAUGGUAUAGUUAAAAAUAAAUAUAAAUAUACAUCGAAUUUUAAAAUUAUCAAAAUUUAUUUAGAAUAAUAUCAUAAAAAAUCGAACAUGAAAAGUAUAUGACAAAAAGAAAAGGGGUGAAGUUUUGGCCCUCACUAGCACAGAGUGCAGCGCGGAACUCUCGGGGGUGUUUGGGAAAUAAGAUGAAAUGGGUAUGGCAUGUGGGUCCCAUUUUCUCUCAUAAUCUAAAUAAAAGUGAGAGACCAUCCCUUUAGUAGAAUGUGGAUCAAGCUGUUCUAUUUUUGUGUUUUAAAUAAAUUGAAAGUUAGCAUAUAUUUGAAAAGAAAAAUAAAAAUAAUAUUUUGAUAUUGUUUAAGAUAUGAUGAUAAAUUGAAAGUUAGCAUAUGAUUAGUUUGAGAUAUGAUGAUAAAUUUUUUGGAAUAGAAGAUCAUGGUUUCAAUGUAAUGAGGAAAAUGAGAAUGAAAUGCAUGUGUGGAUGCAUAUCUUAAGGGAGACAAAUCUAGUUGUUGAUGCUCUAGCUAAAUUUGGUCAUUCAUUGAAUUGUGAAUUUAUGAUAUGAGAAUAUCUUAUUGAUGUAACUCUUUUUUUCUUUCUUUCUGUAUAUUUGCUUGUGGAUACUGCUCCUACCUUCUUUGAUAGAGGCUCUUAGUUUGUUGUUGCUUUUUGAGUGUUAGCCCAUCAAGUCAUAAAAAAUAAUAAUAGUUUUAAAACUUGACAAUGUUUUUUUUGUUAAGUAAAUUGUAUUAAAAGCAGUACAAGGGGUGCUAACCCAAUACAAGACAAAGAUCAAAUAUUAAUUUUUUUUAGAAGUUAAUAUAAUACAAGUUUUUGGAUCGUUACACCAAUUAGCAAACACAAGAAAAGUUGGAGCCUGUGUAUUAAUCCACAGACCAAAAAUCUAUUAGGAACUUAAGUUUUUGGAGGGGAGAAUGACUAGUAAAACUAUAGUUUGGGAUUUUGCUUUUGUUUGUCUGAAAUAUCAUGAUAAUUUAGAAUUCAUGGUAUUCAAGUAUAUAUACUUUUGAUUUCACUUCUUAACCCAUGAGAAUUUAUAAUUUACCAUAUAAACAAAAGAAGUUUCAUAUAUUGAAAAAUGACCCUCUUAAUUAGUGAAAUAUGAGAAGAAUAGAUAUAACAUUACUCCACAAACAAAAAAUUCUUAAUAAGAUCUGAAUUCAUUACAUCAUAAUUAUUAAACAACGACGUUAUUAUCAUUACAGUUUCCAUAAAAAAACGAUAAAUCAAGAAAAUAAAUUGAGAGAGACAGAAAAAGAAGCAAGAAAAUCAAUAGCAAUCGUUGGGCUUAUCUUCUAGACUAUACUAGGUUUUUUCAUAAUUUUCAAAUGAUUCUUUUUCUCAAAUGAACAAGAGUCUUGUCAACCACCAUAACAAGGAGCUAUUGCUAGUUUAGACUUCACCACCCUUCUCUCUAUUCUACUCCUUUCUCUUCUCUAAUCACUACCUAGUCCACACCCAAAAUCUGAUUUUGCAAUCAUCACCCUAAUUCUAAGGGACACCCAUAAAAACCUCUACUUUUCCUUUAAAAUCCUCAAACCACACCCUUCUAACUAUAAUAACACCUAUAUAUACCUAAAUUAAACCUCACUUAUGCUGA